GACGAACGCUGGCGGCGUGCCUAAUACAUGCAAGUCGAGCGGACGAAUCGAAAGCUUGCUUUUGAUUCGUUAGCGGCGGACGGGUGAGUAACACGUGGGCAACCUGCCCUGUAGACGGGGAUAACACCGAGAAAUCGGUGCUAAUACCGGAUAACACGAAAUGUCGCAUGACGUUUCGUUGAAAGACGGCGCAAGCUGUCGCUACAGGAUGGGCCCGCGGCGCAUUGGCUAGUUGGUGAGGUAACGGCUCACCAAGGCGACGAUGCGUAGCCGACCUGAGAGGGUGAUCGGCCACACUGGGACUGAGACACGGCCCAGACUCCUACGGGAGGCAGCAGUAGGGAAUCUUCCGCAAUGGACGAAAGUCUGACGGAGCAACGCCGCGUGAGCGAAGAAGGCCUUCGGGUCGUAAAGCUCCGUUGUUAGGGAAGAACAAGUAACGCAGUAACUGGCGUUACCGUGACGGUACCUAACGAGAAAGCCACGGCUAACUACGUG
rnacentral:rRNA from 1 species